CGAGUGAAGCGGCAACAGCUCAAAUUUGAAAUCUGGGGUCUUUUUGGGCCUCCGAGUUGUAAUUUGCAGAGGGUGCCUCGGAGGGCGAGUCGGUCCAAGUGCCUUGGAACAGGAUACCGCAGAGGGUGAGAGUCCCGUAUCCGGCCGGCGAUGCGCUCCGUGUGAGGUCCCUUCGACGAGUCGAGUUGUUUGGGAAUGCAGCUCCAAGCGGGUGGUAAAUUCCAUCUAAAGCUAAAUACUGGCCAGAGACCGAUAGCGAACAAGUAGAGUGAUCGAAAGAUGAAAAGCACUUUGAAAAGAGAGUCAAACAGUACGUGAAAUUGUUGAAAGGGAAGCGCAUGGGGGCAGACUUGGCCGCGGGGUUCAGGGUGCGUUCUCGCGCCUGUACUUCCCCGCGGACAGGCCAGCAUCGGUUCCGGGGGCCGGACAAAGGCGUUGGGAAGGUGGCAGCCUUCGGGGUGUGUUAUAGCCCGACGCGCAAUGCGGCCACCUGGGACCGAGGACCGCGCCUUGUGCAAGGAUGCUGGCGUAAUGGCCUCAUGCGGCCCGUCUUGAAACACGGACCAAGGAGUCUAACAUCUAUGCGAGUGUUUGGGUGUCAAGCCCGGGCGCGCAAUGAAAGUGAACGGAGGUGGGAUUUCUGUACGGAAAGCACCAUCGACCGAUCCGGACGUCUUCUGAAGGAUUUGAGUAAGAGCAUAGCUGUUGGGACCCGAAAGAUGGUGAACUAUGCGUGAAUAGGGUGAAGCCAGAGGAAACUCUGGUGGAGGCUCGCAGCGGUUCUGACGUGCAAAUCGAUCGUCAAAUUUGCGUAUAGGGGCGAAAGACUAAUCGAACCAUCUAGUAGCUGGUUCCUGCCGAAGUUUCCCUCAGGAUAGCAGUAACGUAUUCAGUUUUAUGAGGUAAAGCGAACGAUUAGGGAGCUAGGGGUUGAAACAACCUUUAUCCAUUCUCGAACUUUAAAUAUGUAAGAAGUCCUUGUUGCUUUGUUGAACGUGGACACUCGAAUGCAGCGUUACUAGUGGGCCAUUUUUGGUAAGCAGAACUGGCGAUGCGGGAUGAACCGAACGUGGGGUUAAGGUGCCGGAAUGCACGCUCAUCAGACACCACAAAAGGUGUUGGUUCAUCCAGACAGCAGGACGGUGGCCAUGGAAGUCGGAAUCCGCUAAGGAGUGUGUAACAACUCACCUGCCGAAUGAACCAGCCCUGAAAAUGGAUGGCGCUCAAGCGUGCUACCCAUACCCCACCGUCUUUUUAGGAUGUUCUGAAAAGACGAGUAGGCAGGCGUGGAGGUUUUGUGACGAAGCCCAGGGGGUGACCCCGGGUCGAACGGCCUCUAGUGCAGAUCUG
rnacentral:rRNA from 2 species